UACGAAGGGGGCUAGCGUUGUUCGGAAUCACUGGGCGUAAAGGGCUCGUAGGCGGCCAACUAAGUCAGACGUGAAAUCCCUCGGCUUAACCGGGGAACUGCAUCUGAUACUGGAUGGCUUGAGAUUGGGAGAGGGAUGCGGAAUUCCAGGUGUAGCGGUGAAAUGCGUAGAUAUCUGGAGGAACACCGGUGGCGAAGGCGGCAUCCUGGACCAACACUGACGCUGAGGGGCGAAAGCCAGGGGAGCAAACGGG
rnacentral:rRNA from 1 species